UUGAACGCUGGCGGCAGGCCUAACCCCUGCAAGUCGAGCGGAUGAAGGGAGCUUGCUCCUGGAUUCAGCGGCGGACGGGUGAGUAAUGCCUAGGAAUCUGCCUGGUAGUGGGGGAUAACGUCCGGAAACGGGCGCUAAUACCGCAUACGUCCUGAGGGAGAAAGUGGGGGAUCUUCGGACCUCACGCUAUCAGAUGAGCCUAGGUCGGAUUAGCUAGUUGGUGGGGUAAAGGCCUACCAAGGCGACGAUCCGUAACUGGUCUGAGAGGAUGAUCAGUCACACUGAAACUGAGACACGGUCCAGACUCCUACGGGAGGCAGCAGUGGGGAAUAUUGGACAAUGGGCGAAAGCCUGAUCCAGCCAUGCCGCGUGUGUGAAGAAGGUCUUCGGAUUGUAAAGCACUUUAAGUUGGGAGGAAGGGCAGUAAGUUAAUACCUUGCUGUUUUGACGUUACCAACAGAAUAAGCACCGGCUAACUUCGUG
rnacentral:rRNA from 1 species